AGCGAACGCUGGCGGCAGGCCUAACACAUGCAAGUCGAACGAACCUUUCGGGGUUAGUGGCGGACGGGUGAGUAACACGUGGGAACGUGCCUUUAGGUACGGAAUAACUCAGGGAAACUUGUGCUAAUACCGAAUGUGCCCUUCGGGGGAAAGAUUAAUCGCCUUUAGAGCGGCCCGCGUCUGAUUAGCUAGUUGGUUGAGGUAAUGGCUCACCAAGGCGACGAUCAGUAGCUGGUCUGAGAGGAUGAUCAGCCACAUUGGGACUGAGACACGGCCCAAACUCCUACGGGAGGCAGCAGUGGGGAAUCUUGCGCAAUGGGCGAAAGCCUGACGCAGCCAUGCCGCGUGAAUGAUGAAGGUCUUAGGAUUGUAAAAUUCUUUCACCGGGGACGAUAAUGACGGUACCCGGAGAAGAAGCCCCGGCUAACUUCGUG
rnacentral:rRNA from 1 species